AGAACAUUUUCCCCCACUUCCCUUAACACAGUGUUCUCUUGUAGCGCUGUCAGUCUUUACGGGGGGCCCCCCAGCAAUCAUCAGAACCAGCCAUGCUGAGGGAGGUGUUGACUAAAUUAGAGAUGGUGCUGGACCAACAAACCACUGAGAUUGCUUCAACUACAGGAGGUCCAGGUGCAGCCUUUGGAUAUUGAUGAACUGUUUAGUCUGGAGUAAAGGAUGAAACAGAGCCCAGAUUACAAGUAAAAACUGGUGAGAAUAUUUUGGUUAACAAUUGUUUGCACAAUUACACAGCUACUGAGAGCGUUUCUGUUUUCUCAAGGUGACACACUCAUACUCAAAGCACAUUCAACACCACUUUGAUAUGAGGGAACUGUUAUGACCUAAUCUUUGGUAGAAGAGGAAAACAUGGAAAACACACAGGGCAGGGUAACUGCAGAAGUAGUGAGAAGCACUGACACAGUUGAUGAGGCAAUACAUGCUUGUUAAUUAUUUAUUUUUGUUAUUUUAUAUGAUAUUAUUGUUAUAAAAAUCAUCGGUUUCAGGUAAACUGGUUGGCACAUAUUGACGCGUAAUGGAUGUGCUCGACUGCAUCUGGUGCAUAUUGAAGAGAGUGAUUGCUAACUCCCUGGCAAAGAACCUCAAUUGAAGGGGAGUCAAUGGAAAGACUUCACUGGCCGCUCUCCAACUCGGAGAGGUCAUGAUUGCUGCAGUUCAUUGAAACCUCUUCACGGCUAAUGCUGCAGAGAUGGAGG